rnacentral:lncRNA from 1 species
GUCAUAGACAGUACUCUUUCGCCGCAGGCUUAUCAUCACAGGCAGUACUUUCUCACCAUAGGUGUGCUAUAUAUUAGUAAACCCCAUCGGAUCCAUCAUUUUAUGACAAUCAUAAUUUAUCACUACAGGCAUGCUAGUUCCACCACAGGUAUAAUACCUUGCCACAGGCAUACCAAUUUUUGCCACAAGCUCACCACAGACAUACUAGCUUCGCC